GAUGAACGCUGGCGGCGUGCCUAAUACAUGCAAGUCGAGCGAACGGACGAGAAGCUUGCUUCUCUGAUGUUAGCGGCGGACGGGUGAGUAACACGUGGAUAACCUACCUAUAAGACUGGGAUAACUACGGGAAACCGUAGCUAAUACCGGAUAAUAUUUUGUACCGCAUGGUUCAAAAGUGAAAGACGGUCUUGCUGUCACUUAUAGAUGGAUCCGCGGUGGAUUAGCUAGUUGGUAAGGUAACGGCCUACCAAGGCAACGAUGCAUAGCCGAUCUGAGAGGGUGAUCAGCCACACUGGAACUGAGACACGGUCCAGACUCCUACGGGAGGCAGCAGUGGGGAAUAUUGCACAAUGGGCGAAAGCCUGACGGAGCAACGCCGCGUGAGUGAUGAAGGUCUUCGGAUCGUAAAACUCUGUUAUUAGGGAAGAACAGAUGUGUAAGUAACUGUGCACAUCUUGACGGUACCUAAACAGAAAGCCACGGCUAACUACGUG
rnacentral:rRNA from 1 species